GCGCUUGGGGGGACGGAGGGCCCCGGCGGGCCCUGCGAGGCAACCCCCAGCCGCGCACCCCGAGGAGCCCGGAGGCACCCCCGGGGGCGAUUGAUCGGCAAGCGACGCUCAGACAGGCGUAGCCCCGGGAGGAACCCGGGGCCGCAAGUGCGUUCGAAGUGUCGAUGAUCAAUGUGUCCUGCAAUUCACAUUAAUUCUCGCAGCUAGCUGCGUUCUUCAUCGACGCACGAGCCGAGUGAUCCACCGCUAAGAGUCGUACGAGGUCGAUGUGGCGAGGGCGCUCCCGACACCGGGAGGCCCUCCUGGCACGGCACGCCCCGAGCGGGGGUUGCCUCAGGCCGGCCAGCGAGACAAGUAUAACGGGACCAGACUCCGGAGAGGGGUCGGAAGGUUUCACUUCCACGGGGAGACCCGCGCGCCGCCCACGACGGGGCGAGCGCGGACACCCCACAGGCGCCCGGGGGUUCCCGCCCCCACACGGCGCGGGGCACGCACACGACACGCGCGCGGCACGCGGACGACGGCACGACGACGGCCGCCGGGUAAAGCCCCCACCCGACGGCCGCCGCGGCGCGCGUCGGCGGCGACGCGCGCGCGGCGCGGCCCCCGCCAGGGGGCGGAGCCCGUGCGGGGCGAGGCGACGGGAGGGGUCCGGGCCCCUCCCGACGGAACUCCCCCGCCGGCGCGCCCGCCGACCCCCGACCCACGGGCGGACGGGCGACACCCCCCAAGGGGUCUUUAAACCUCCGCGCCGGAACGCGCUAGGUACCUGGACGGCGAGGGGGCGGACGAGGAGGGGGGGACCGGGACCAGCGUCCGGCCCCACGACUCUCGAGGCGCCCUGGCGGGAAGGCCGGCGGAGAGCCAGCGGGCCCCCUUCCCGAGUUCUCCGGCUCUCGCGGCCGGCGGGGGACACGGUCAAGCCGACGAGGAAGGACGCGGCGGCGGCGCCGCGGCUUCGCUCUUUCUCCGUUAAUGAUCCUUCCGCAGGUUCACCUACGGAAACCUUGUUACGACUUUUACUUCCUCUAGAUAGUCAAGUUCGACCGUCUUCUCAGCGCUCCGCCAGGGCCGUGGGCCGACCCCGGCGGGGCCGAUCCGAGGGCCUCACUAAACCAUCCAAUCGGUAG
rnacentral:lncRNA from 1 species